CAACAAUAAGUAGAAAAAAAUAUAUUUUAUGAUUUUUUAUUGGGAGGAAGUCGGUUUAAGGGAUUGAAAAAAUGAAGUCACAGUAUUAAAUUCUUUUCAUAUUUAAAUAAUUUAUUUGAUGUUUGCUACGUGUGUGUUCAAUUCAAUCCUCGAGACAUGUAUCUGCCAGACACUUAAAAUAGUGGUCUAUUUAAGAGGCCUUAAUGAAUGACAAUAUUUUCGAAAUGUGCUUUAUGAAUACAAAUAUUUCCAAAGCAAAGAAAGAAAACAAUUGAAUAAGUAGACAUAAUGAAAGUCUGAGCAUUUCUCUGAUUUACAAAAUUAUGCUACUUUUUGUUUUUCACUACAUGAAUACAACCACUUUAAAAAAUAUGUGUGUGUGUAUAUACCCACAAACACAAACAGUACAGAAACAUUUCAAAGUGGCAAAUUUUUAGUGCACUGCCAAAUUGCUACAAUAACUGUCAUCUAUAGACAUUCACAUGCAAACACUACUGGACUAGUACACUAGAGCAAAUAACGAGUAUUAGUUAGCAGAACUCCUUGGCAAAAACUUUUAAAAAAUGGAAAUAAUGAAACAGAAAUCCACUUCUCAUCUUAACAGUAUAGAAAAUAAUCUCUUUUAUCAUUUGAGUCAUAUAUGAACACAGUAUUAUCUAAGCUCAUAAAAUAACUUCUUACAGCACACAUAGAACUGUAGUCUACACGCAACAAAUGUCAUCAUUGGAAGAAAAUGGGCCAUGAGGAGAAGGUCUGAGAAAUAGUGGUGGGGUAGAUAAAUCCAUUAAAAAAUAAGAAAGGCAUGGCAAGGACUGGAAUGCACAUGCAAGGGAGAAUGGGAAGAAAGAAAGCAGAAAGUAACAAAAACCGAUUAAAUGUAAAAGAGCAGCUAGUUAUGACAGGAAUGAAUUAUGAAAGUUGGACGAAUGGGAAAGGAGAGGUGAAAAUAAUUUUUCUUCUUUAUUUUAAGCUAUAUAUAGAACUGUCACUAGCCAAAGCCCAUUUGGAAUAUGAGUUGGUUAAACUGUCAUAUAAGUGAUAGCAUGGGCUUUGCCAAAACUACCACACAGGGCUGAUCUGAACAAGAAAUAAGAUACCGGUUGUGAAGAUGUUUCAAAAAUUCAAAAUGAUACUCAUAUAAGACACACAGUUUACACAAUAUUCAGAUUCAAUCCUUCAUUCUAACUUUGGGAAAGUGGAAACAAUGAGCUUGCCAGACCAGAGAGAAGAGGAAACCUUCUCUGCUCCAUUAUGAGUUUCAUGCAACAGCAGACUCCACAGUCACAGUGAAGUCUGACUUUGAAAGCAGAACAAAGAUGGUGACAAACUGAUCUAAUGGAGAGGGAUGCAGAGAUACCUGUGAGCAAUGUCUCCACUCCUAGCAUUUCUCCACAGAAAUUCCUGGGGGAAAAUUAGUGGAAGGAAUAAAGAGGUUCCCUAUACUGUUUCACCUGAACCAUACAACCAUUACUGUCUGAAUAGGAUUAAAUUAUUCCAAGUUCUUCCUUACAGCAGGAAGGACUGAGAGGGUAAAAAAGAUUAUAUAAAUUCAAUAAAAUAUGCCAAAGCACACAAUAUCGUUUCUUACAUAUUAAAAACUAGAAAAGAAGAAAACUCUAAGGUGUGUUAGCUAUGUGUGUGCAUUGCUAUGACCAUUUGACAGCUAAGAAACUGAUGCUUAGUGAGACAUUUAUUCAAGGCCACUUAUCCAACACAAAUUUGACCCUGGGUCUGUUUCAUGUUAAAGUCCUGGCUGGUAAUUUCUAUAACAACAAAGCCUCCAACCAUCAGAAGAGGUCAGGAAGAUAAACAAUGAGAUAGCCAACAUAUAUUUUUGAUAUCUUUUUUCUUGUUAGUUCUGUCAUUAUUUAAGAAAAUAUUUUGGCAUUGAAUAAUAUAUCUGUUAAACUUUUAUAAAUGCCUUAAACAGCAUUUCUUCCUCUGCUAACAGUAACUCUACAAGAACAAUUCAUGAUAUCCAAAGGACAGAAAAUCAUGAAUUAAUGCACUGAUCAACAGCAGUUGCAAAUACCCCAAAGAGAGAGAAAACUAGACAUUAUGUGCCAGCUUAUAAAAAACACAGGAGGACCUAUGAAACAUUCCUGCCCCAAAAAUCACAUUUCCAAUCUGAUCAAGUCUCUAGAUCCAAUGACCAAAUUACUGAAAGACAUGUUAGAGAAAAUUAACACCAAAGGGAUAUAAUCACCAAAACAUAAGAUUAUGGCAAAUGCUACAUGUGAAACAACCUUAUUUCUUCAACAAAUAAAAUUGCAAGGAAAGAAAGAGACAAAGGGGAAACAGAUUACAGACUUAAGAGACUUACUGGGAUUCUAAUUACUCAGAAUAUUAAAACAAGUAGUAGCAUUGAUGAGACAAUUGGAAGUUGGAACCCUAACUGGAUAUUUAUUAAGGAAUUAUUGUUAAGCCCAUUCUUUAUAGAACCAUAUAUUGAAUAUUUAUGGUUGAAAUAAUGUGAUGUCUAGAAUUUAUUCCAAAAUAAUACUGGAAGAGGGUGAGAGUGGAGAUCAGAUAAACAAGACUGUUGUGAGUUGAUAAUAGUUGAAGUUGGGUGCCAAGCAAAUAGAUGUUCAAUAUAUGUAUUUUAUGCAUGUUUGGGGAAAAAAAGCACAUGCAACACCAUCACUGAAAAAUGUCCUAAAUUUUUUCAAGGAAAGAAGCAUAUUAUCAAGGAAUCACAAAGCUGAAAAUACCUUAGAAACGAUCUACUCAAACCACCUCAUUUUAUAAAUAAGGAAAUUAAGGCUCAGAUAGGUGAAGUGAUCUUGCUCGGGG
ensembl:lncRNA